rnacentral:rRNA from 1 species
GUGGGGAAUAUUGGACAAUGGGCGAAAGCCUGAUCCAGCCAUGCCGCGUGUGUGAAGAAGGUCUUCGGAUUGUAAAGCACUUUAAGUUGGGAGGAAGGGCAGUAAGUUAAUACCUUGCUGUUUUGACGUUACCGACAGAAUAAGCACCGGCUAACUUCGUGCCAGCAGCCGCGGCAAUACGAAGGGUGCAAGCGUUAAUCGGAAUUACUGGGCGUAAAGCGCGCGUAGGUGGUUUUGUAAGUUGGAGGUGAAAUCCCCGGGCUCAACCUGGGAACUGCCUCCAAAACUGCAUGACUAGAGUACGGUAGAGGGUAGUGGAAUUUCCUGUGUAGCGGUGAAAUGCGUAGAUAUAGGAAGGAACACCAGUGGCGAAGGCGACUACCUGGACUGAUACUGACACUGAGGUGCGAAAGCGUGGGGAGCAAACAGGAUUAGAAACCCCGGUAGUCC